rnacentral:rRNA from 1 species
GACGUAGGGCGCGAGCGUUGUCCGGAUUUAUUGGGCGUAAAGAGCUCGUAGGCGGCUCGUUGCGUCGGCUGUGAAAACCCGCAGCUCAACUGUGGGCUUGCAGCUGAUACGGGCGGGCUGGGAUUCGGUUAGGGAGGACUGGAAUUCCUGGUGUAGCGGUGAAUGACGCAGAUAUCAGGAGGAACACCGGUGGCGAAGGCGGGUCUCUGGGCCGAUAUUGACGCUGGAGGAGCGAAAGCGUGGGAGCGAACAGG